UAUAUAUAAAAUCCUAUAUACAAUGUGAGCAAAUUGAUUUAAUAAUAUAAUAUAAUAUAAUAAUAUAUGAAAGGUAUGAUGCAUUUCUGAAAUAUAGAAUAGGAGAGCGUAUCCGCCGAAUUUAAGCAUAUAAUUAAGCGGAAGAAAAGAAAAUAACAAUGAUUCCUUUAGUAACGGCGAGUGAACAAGGAAAAGCUCAAAAGGAAAAUCCGCAUUGUGGUGAAAAUUACGAUGUGGAAUUGUCUGGUGAGGGUUCAUCAUUUUCUAUUUUUUAUGAUGGGUUGUGAAAUGAGUAGGAAUACUAUCCCUUAGAGGGUGAAAGGCCCGUAGCUUCCCACAAUUGUAGAAAAUGAUGAUUCUCUGUAGAGUCGUGUUCUUUGAGAUUGGAGCACAAAUAUGUGUGAUACAUUUCACAUAAAGCUAAAUAUUUGUAGGAAACCGAUAGUAUACAAGUACCGUGAGGGAAAGAUGAAAUAGUACUCAGGAAUGAGAUUUAAAUAAUACCUGAAAUCGUUAAGAUGGAACGGAUUGAGAGAGAAAUAACGUAAGAAUAAAUUUAUUUCCUUACUUGCAUGAGUAGGUUUUAACCUUUAUCUUAUUAAAAGAAGCAUCAGUGAACUUUUAGGGUUAUUAAAAUAUGGCCAUGUAUCCUUUACAAAUAUAAUAUAUGAGUAAAAGGAUUUCGUGUCACUUCCGCUAAAAUGGUUGUAUAACGAGCUAUUUUUAUAAUCCGGUUUACUGAGGUUUAUUAAAAUCUUUGGGCCCUUUGCCCAUAUUGAUUUGAGUUGCUUCUAAAAAGCACUUUCUUAACCCACUCGUCUUGAAACACGGACCAAGGAGUCUAACAAAUGUGCGAGCGUAUAUAUGUUUUUAACUAUAAUAAAAGUAUUUUCAUUCUUUUAUAUUUACGCGCAGUUAAAGUAAAUUGUGCUUAACCUAUUUGUAGAAUAUACUGAGAUUGAUAAUAUCUAUUUUCACUUGGAACCUGAAAAUAGAUUUCUUCAGUUGAAGUAUACGCAUACAAACCCGGUUGGCAACUGUCAAACUGAGGGUGAGUAUAUUUGUUAGGACCCGAGAGGCUUUGAACUAAGCGUGGUGAGAUUGAAGUCAGACGAAAGUCUGAUGGAGGAUCGAAUUGAUACUGACGUGCAAAUCGUUCAUUUCAAUCACGUUUAGGGGCGAAAGACUAAUCGAAAAGCCUAUUAGCUGGUUAUUUUCGAAAGAUCUCUCAGGAUCGCUGGAGUUGAUUAAUAUAGUUUUACGAGGUAGAGAUAAUGAUUAGAGGAUUCAGGGAAAUCGUUUUCCUUGGCCUAUUCUCAAACUCCCAAUACGUAAUAAGGGAUUAAUAUCUUUAUUGUAUUUUUCCCACUAUAAAUAAGAUAACUCCAAGUGGGCCAUUUUUGGUAAGCAGAACUGGCGAUGAGGGAUGCUCCUAACGCUUGGAUAAGGUGCCUAAAUAUUCGCUCAUGAGAUCCCAUAAAAGGUGUUGGUUCAUAAUGACAGUAGGACGGUGGUCAUGGAAGUCGAAAUCCGCUAAGGAGUGUGUAACAACUCACCUACCGAAUGAACUAGCCCUGAAAAUGGAUGGCGCUAAAGCGGAUUACCGAUACCAAGCCAUAGAAAGAGAUUUAAGGGUUAUUUGGGUUCGUCCCUAUUAAUCUUUUUUUGAAUCUUUCUAUGAGUAGAAAAUCGUGGGGUUUGUGUAGAAGCAAGAUGCGUGAGCUCUUGUGGAACAUAUCCCUAGUGCAGAUCUUGGUGGAAGUAGCAAUUAUUCAAAUGAGAACUUUGAAGACUGAAGUGGAGAAGGGUUUCUUGUCAACUGUGAUUGUACAAGAGUUAGCCGCUCCUAAGGGAAAGCUGAAAAGCAUUUAAAUUGGGAUAUGGUGUAGCAAGUAAUUGCUGCAUCUUAUUCCUGUCUCAAAAGGGAAACAGGUUAAUAUUCCUGUGCCUAAGUUAUUUUGUUUAUUGAAAUAUAGUUGGUAACAUAAAUUGAAUGAACUCCUUAACAUAGGUUUUACGAUCGAGAUGCGUUAUCUUUGCAUUUUAACUUUAUAACAAACCUCGGAAUCAAUUUAAUUGGAGAACAGGUUUGUUGAAUUGCAAUUCAUGUGAUUUUUAAGCGUAGAAUAAUAUAAAUUCACAUUUGAGAAUUUCGGUUUUGUAGUAAUAGUAAUUCAAUUUAUGAAUUAUUCGAUGUGUAAAAACUAUCCUUGAAAAAAGGGGGGAACAGCGAUUAUAAUGGAAGAUGGAAAUAAUUAUAAAUUUAAAUAUAAUUUUGUAUUUAUUUUCAUGUAUAUGUUAUACUUGCGCGUUAACAUGCAAAUACUUACGAGCGUACCCACAACCGCAGCAGGUCUCCUAGGUUAACAGCCUCUGGUUAAAUAGAAAAAAGUAAGUAAGGGAAGUCGGCAAAAUAGAUCCGUAACUUCGGGAAAAGGAUUGGCUCUGAGGACAUAGAGUAGAAUAGUUAAAUUAACGUUUGAAGUAAAGAUAUGAAGAA
rnacentral:rRNA from 1 species